CUGGGACAAGCCCUGGAAACGGGGUCUAAUACCGGAUAUCACUCUCGCAGGCAUCUGUGAGGGUCGAAAGCUCCGGCGGUGCAGGAUGAGCCCGCGGCCUAUCAGCUUGUUGGUGAGGUAACGGCUCACCAAGGCGACGACGGGUAGCCGGCCUGAGAGGGCGACCGGCCACACUGGGACUGAGACACGGCCCAGACUCCUACGGGAGGCAGCAGUGGGGAAUAUUGCACAAUGGGCGAAAGCCUGAUGCAGCGACGCCGCGUGAGGGAUGACGGCCUUCGGGUUGUAAACCUCUUUCAGCAGGGAAGAAGCGAAAGUGACGGUACCUGCAGAAGAAGCGCCGGCUAACUACGUGCCAGCAGCCGCGGUAAUACGUAGGGCGCAAGCGUUGUCCGGAAUUAUUGGGCGUAAAGAGCUCGUAGGCGGCUUGUCACGUCGGGUGUGAAAGCCCGGGGCUUAACCCCGGGUCUGCAUUCGAUACGGGCAGGCUAGAGUGUGGUAGGGGAGAUCGGAAUUCCUGGUGUAGCGGUGAAAUGCGCAGAUAUCAGGAGGAACACCGGUGGCGAAGGCGGAUCUCUGGGCCAUUACUGACGCUGAGGAGCGAAAGCGUGGGGAGCGAACAGGAUUAGAUACCCUGGUAGUCCACGCCGUAAACGGUGGGAACUAGGUGUUGGCGACAUUCCACGUCGUCGUGCCGCAG
rnacentral:rRNA from 1 species